GUCACAUAUUAUACUCCUUUCACCAAAUUCAUAUUGGUGUGACCCAGGAUUUCCAUCAGAUCCGUGUCAGGUCUGUCUCUGAUUCGCUGCUGUCCAGCUCCUGGCUCUCUCAUCUGUCAACACACACCGGGUGCAUUUCCGGACAUAGAACAAAGCAGGACCGCUGGACAGCUGGAGUCAGGUGACCAAGACUCUGCAAUCGUACCAAAGUUUUCGUCUGGGAGAACAAAUACUACACAGAUUAUUAAAGGAGCCAUAGCUGUGGAACUCGAUGAUAUGGUAACAAGAAUCUGCCAGACCCAGCUGCUUGCACUCCUUUGUGAUGAGUCCAACAACAUCAAGACAGACGAAGAAUUAGUCAUUUUGGCUCGUGUGUAUGAUGAAGACCUCCUGCAAGUUUUGACAAAGUUUCUUGACAUGCCGUCUGCAACAUUGGAAGUGCUGACAGUCUUUUUGGAAAACUUUCAUCAGCAUUGACGUGGGUGAACUGACUACUAGGUCCCACAAAGGGGAUAAGGGUUUAAGUUAAAAAAUGUCAUAAUAGUUGUCAACUUUAUUUAUAUUUUCUAAACAGUAGUGUGCUUUUAUGUUUUUAUUCUUGUGAAGGAAAAGGAACGUUCCCUGGGAUAGGCUGAUAGCCUUCAAUUCCAACAAUGCCAGUGUCAUGAAAGGGAAGCACAACUCUGUAGUCACCAGAUUGCACAGCAGCCAGCCGCACAUACUGGGGUGCAUCUCAAAGCUCUAAACUGCA